UCUCAUCCUCUUGCUCCUUUUUAGUAGUCGGUGGAUGAGAACCGAAUGUCUCAGCAUCCUGAAAUGAAAAAUAAAAUAUUAUUAAUAAAUUUCGAUACAGAGGCAUAUUUUUUGAUACGAAGGUAUAUUUUUUAAUGCACUCAUUCGAUUCUCAAACAGAUUAUUCCUAUAUAUUUUAUUCGAUGAUACGGAGCUAUAGA
rnacentral:lncRNA from 1 species